UUUCGAGACACUUGAUGGCCCUGUAUGCAGCUCAAUGCGCCUCGCCCAGCAGGCUGCUUGCUUGGAUGCUUGCAAGAAGCUCCACCAGAUGGGGGCAUUUACGGACAUGCUCUUGCCUGACAAGGGAAGUGGGGUGGAGUCGGAGAAAGUUGAACAGGAUGAAGAAGGAGAUCCAAUUCCUGGAACUUCCAGGCACAGGGAAUUUUAUCCUGAAGGUGUAGCUGAUAUUCUGAGGGGUGAUUGGAUUUUGUCGGGAAAGGAUCCUCUUGUCAGCUCAAAGUUCAUUCAUCUUUAUAUGUAUGCUAUCAAAUGUGUAAAUAUUGGCCCCUCGAAGGACCCAUUCUUAACUGAUGUGUCAGAGUUUGCAAUACUAUUUGGCAACGAGCUGGAUGCAGAG
rnacentral:misc_RNA from 1 species